CCAUGGCUGGGGCCUGGCCUCUGCGAAGGACUCCCUCAAGGGGUGGGUGUCCGGGUGCCUGUCACUGUAUGCCAUGGACAAUCACUGCAUUCCCCGAAAGCCUUGCUCCUUCCCUACGCUGUGAGGCCAGGCAAAACUCAUUGUACUCCAUCUUGGCAUGGGGAUGUCUGGCCCGGAAAUGGGCUGGCAGGACCUCUAGGUUUCCAGGCUGAUAUUGUCUCCUCCUUGCCAUUUUGAACCUGACAUCUCAGACCCUCCCCAACCUGUGGAGCUGCACAGGGGCCCGAGACUCCAGCAAACCCAAAAGGAAGCCAGCCCUCUGCCAGAGAGUUUGAGUCUAGAUAGCUAGGGAACACUGGCAGGGGCAGUAGUCAUCCUCUGUGGUGCCUGCCGUUCUCCGUGGCGUUGGCCCUGCGCCCCAACUCUCCAUCCUCCCUGAAUUUUUGGCCUGUGCAGAGGCAGCUGAUGAGCUUGGCUUCAGGAGGCAAGGGCAAAAAGGGGGGUGGCCCUACACCAGUGCCCCCAAUUGGCCACCCUCAACACAGGCUCAACAGUCAAGUGCCCGCCUCAGAACCCAGCUGCGUGGUCACUUGCCCCUCCCCUCUUUCUGGCCAGUCACUCCCAGGCCUGCCCUUCAAUGCUGGACCCCACUGUCUCAGUGACCAGUCUGUCUUGGUGUUCCUGGAGGUCCCUGCUUGGAUGCAUUUCAGAACAGGGGUAUGUUCCAACUAUGGUGGGGUAUUCAGGACAAAUGUGGGAGCACACUUGCCUCUCUCACGGGCUGGGUGGGCCUCCAAGUUAACUCUGUCCAUUCCUUUCCUCCUCUUGCCAUAGCCAUGCUCAGCUCCCAGGGCCACAGGCCCCCAGUCCUUGCCCCCAGCUUGCCCUCUUGGUCCAAUGCUCAUGCCCCUUGCUGCCUUGCCUCGUGGGCACUACAUACUCCAAGCUCGGAAGGUGCUCUUCCUCAGCCUCCUCUGUUGUUACAUUUGGGUCCUCAGCCCCCACUGCCAGGCCCUGUGCUGAGUACUCCCACGGCAUUCUCUGCCACCAUCCAUCCUGGAAAUGCCAAUGCCAACCCCCUUUUAUAGAUGGGGAAACCAGGCCUCAGAGGCAAAUGAUUGUCCAAGUUCACUCCAUGAGCCAAGUGUGGAGACUCGAACCUAGUGCCACCUGGCUGUUCUCAUCUCACUGCCACAUUCCCCUCCUCCCUUCCUGCUCCGGGUCCUCCUCCCCACGCAGGUCGACUGCCCCCCUGGAUUUCUGCGGCAGGCAGGCACAAGGUGUCUGCAGCAUUUCACUCCAGGCCACCAACUUCCCUACCUAGUCCGUGUGGCUCCCUCACUUCUAACGAUGGGCCUGGGUCUUCCCCUGACUGCUCUGGGACAGGAAUGCUAGUGUGUCCUGGAGAGGUGGAGGGGACAAAAGUAGCAUCUGUACGAAGGACAGCCACUCUGCACCCAGCCCUGGCAUUCAAGCCCGCUGCAAGGAGCCCAGGGCCUGGAGAGGGCCUUCAGGCUUUCAGCAGCCAAGAAGAAUCAUGGAGAACUUUCUGUCUUCAUGUGUAGAUUCCCACAGGCGUCUGCUGGCUCUGUGCCCUCUACCUGCCAGCCACGGGGAUGGCCCUGUCCUUCAGGUGCCCCUGCACCAGGGCCCCUCUGCUAGCUCUGAAGGGGAUCAGAGAGAAGCAGGGAGUGUGUCUGGUGCGUUGGUGACUAACGCCACUGGGCUUCUGCCAGCAUGCCCGCUGGAUGGCUCGGACGGAUUGAGCCUCCCUGCCCUUGCACUGCCCACCCCUGCAUGCCAGUCUCUCAGCUUCUCCCUAUCCUGAGUGUGCACUCUAGGACCAAGGGAUCAGGAGUGGAGGAACCUAGUGAGACCUGGAACUGUGGAGUCAGGGGCAUGGUGGGGGUGCUGGGAGCAAACCUGCCCGGGGUCUGGGAAGACAUGUUGCCUCUGUCCCAGGAAUGAGGAGGAAGGGAUGGAUGAAGGCUUCUGUGUGGCCCAGAAUAAAAGACAAUAAAGUAAAGGAAAACUGGCCUGUGCCCUGUGCCCCUCCUGGCCCCUACCACCUCCCUCCUCGACCUGAAGGAGGCUCUGCUUUGGUUCAGACAGGACAGGACCUGGGUUUCACAGGGUGAGUGCUAAGGUCAGGUCAGGGACAGCAUCCUUCCGUCUGUCUGUGCCUGUGAUGAGACUGAGACCCCCUCUACGGCUUUUCCUGUACCUGAGUUCGUGGGGGCUGGCCGUGGGAAGCAGGUGUCUGGUGGCCUGUGGUGCAGUGAGCAUGGUAGUUGCUUUCUCUUUCCACAGUCUACUCGCCCCAAAUUUGCCCCAGACCAGGCCUGGGCUGAGGAAGGACUUUCCGAAUGCCUCCCUACUGGGCUCUCACUACUGUCUUUUCCUGUGUCGCUCCCUCCAACGCACUCCUAUGGGCUCAGAUGAGACCCCAGAGUUGAAACCCCUCGACUCCAGGGAUCGGGAUCGGAGACAGGUCCAUUCUCUGGGUAUUAUCAGCCCCUCCCCCAGCAGCCGACAAACAUCCUAAGGGACCAAGAUUCCCAUCAGCUCAGAGUCCCCGACUCCACUCCAUAUGGGGCCUCAAGAGGCCUGGGGGAGGGGAAUCAUGAGCACACCCCCGCCCCCAAUCUCAGCAGAGAAAGAGCUAGGGAGGCCCCAGGGGUCUCACUGCGCCCCAGGACACUCAGUCCCGGAACCCCAGCCCCUGCCUGCUGCGCCGAUCUUCACUAGCCAACUGCCUGCGGUCCCUGUUCCCGAAAGGCAAAGGACUAGGGUCGGGGGAGGCUUGGGUUCCGGCCUCUGCCUUUCCCUUCCAGGCUUCGCUAUCGAGACUGAGCCUCCCAAUCCGGCCACUUGUUGUCGCCACCGCCUCCCGGCCGCUUCGGCAGCGCACGGGUGGGGGGUCCCUCGCAGGGCCGCAGAAGGGGAUGAGGGCAACCCCGCACGCGGCAGGAGCGGGGCAGGAGCGGGGCAGUCGCCCUCUCCCCUUCUGCCGCUGCCGAAGCAGAUUGGAUUCUGAACGCGACACGAGCGGAAUGUCAAUAGGAGCGCAGAGCCACGGGCGGGCGCCGUGGAAGGGAUCAGGAUGCGGGCGCUCCGGCGGCGGGCGCGGGGGGCACAGUUCGGACUCCCCACUUCAGCCCCCGCCGCCUUGCCGCACCGUCACCGCGGGCCACGCGGCCCAGUGACCCCGCUGCGGGGCCCCGCAAGUUUCCGCAGCGCCGGGGGCCACGCGGGCAGGGGCCGCGCUGUCCCCCGCGCCGCGGCGACCCCUACCGCGGAGCCCGGAGCUACCGGGCCGUCCCGCCUCCCGCGCAGCCGCUCAUCCGAGUCGCGCAGCAGGGUCCCCGGCGCCCCCCGGCCAGCCAGCGCGGCACCUGGGCGCACAGGGGCAGUGAGGAGGAGACAGACGACCCAGAGCCUGUUGGUCACAUGGCUGCAGCCCUCCAGCGAGAGAGGAGGAGCCAGGGUUCACCAAGUCCAGACGCUGACCCCUUCCUCCCAAGGGCAGCAGAGUUCCUGCCCUGCCUAAGCCAGGGCCCUUCCUUCUGGGCAGUGGAGGCCUCUCUUUUCAAGAUAACACACUCCCUGGCUGGACCUGCACUCUGCCGCCCGCUGCCGCUUGCCACCCACGUUCAGCACCAGGGAGAGCGCCCAGCAGAGCUUUGGCAGGCCCUGAGCUGAAAGGAAAUGGUGUAGGACCCAGGAGAGCCUGCCAAGACAACCUGAACCAGUGACCAGAGGAAGCCAAACUUGAAGGAAGGACUUCGUAAGAUCUGCUCAUCUACCUGGUCUCCUGUCAGAUCCGAGGAGGUGUUCAGUCAGCCCGUCUCCUGGUCACUUGGUGACUGCUAAUGUCCUACUCUGUUGGGCUUAGCACUGUGUUCCAGCACACAGUAGGGCCUGGAUAAGUAUGUUCCUUGAAUGAUUGAAUGAGCAGCCCCAGACCUGCCCUCCCGAUCCGCUAGUGCGGCUUCAUGAAUGCAGGUGGCAGUGAGGGUGGCCUGGUGGGCGGCCUAUCCAUCAGCCUGGCAGUGUGCCUGACCAGAUGGAGCUGAGCCCCUGGGGGGAGGGAGAGGAGAGGAUUCAUCACCCACAGUAGGUGGCAGGCGUGUGGGCGUGCCUAUCCAGCCUCUGGUGGGAUCCCCAUCCAUCAUGCUGUACCAGGGACUCUCUGCGGAGGUGAACAGGCUAAAGAAGGCUUCUUAGGGUGGGUCCUCCAGUGGAUUUCAGCUCUGUGGUACAAGGGGAAACUGAGACCUAGAAGGUAACAGAACUUCACAACAGGGGCUCUAGGGUGAGACCAAUGAACAUGUGAGUGACAUCUCCGAGACUCAUUUGUUUGACCCUUGGGGAGUUUCUGAGAGUUGGGGGCCCCCCUCUCUGUGGGAAGCAGUUUUAUGGAGAAAAAUGUAGCGCCUGGCACACAGUGUUCAGGCCAGGUCAUGCCCCCGGGCUAGAGGAGGAAGAGGUAGGUGACUUCAGUGGUGGGGCCAGUGGAUCCAGGCAGGGCCACCACCAAGGGGAAGGAGACUUUGAUGGAUGCUCUUCCUGCCAGUGAGGCUGGGGGAGGGUCAGCUAGUGCUGACCAGGCCCUCAGUGACCACAGCUCAGCUGGCUGACCAGCUGGCCUUGCCCAGCCCCCAUGCCCAUUUUCUGGGAACUCACUGUCUCCUCCUCAGCCUUUCGGAGCCACUGUUUCCCGUGCUGCUCAACGACCCUCCAGCCUGAGAUCCUCAUUCCGCCGGCCAGGACUUACCAGCCAAUAGGGCGUCCCGAGACCACUGCUGCUGAGAGCAGGGCAGGCCUGGGACUGUCCCUCCAGAACCCGAUGCUCCCUGGACAGUGCGGGUCGUCCUGGACCUGUCCCCGGCUGCUGAGUCCCCAAGAGGAUUGUUGUCCACAUCUGGGUAACUCAGAGAAAGAACUCCUGCCCUGUGGGGAUAGAGUGGUUUUCCUCUGAGGCUGAGUGCAGGAUGAACCCAGGCAUGGGAGGUAAUGGGGCUCAAAACAGCUGUGAGAAGUCACAUGGGCCCCGAGCCUAUUCCCUCCCAUAAUACAAAUGAGCAGAACACACAGGACCCUUCGGGGUCUCCCAUGAUGCCUCAGAGGAUCGAAGCAGGUGCUGCUGCAGCCUUUGGGCUACCGUGUACACAGUGUCCAGGCCUCUCCUGGGACUGCCACAAGGAUUAAAGCUUGAUGAAGAAUGCAAAGGCUGCUGGACACAGUGAGGUUCCAAAAGGGGGGCCCAGCUGCCUUGGGCUUCUGAGUGGGAAGGAGAAGCAUGCGGAGCUCUCUGGGCCCAUGCUCCGUCUUGAGCUGUCACCCUCGAUGACUGAUCCAGGACACGCAAACAGUACACAGCCAUAACCACACAGCAGCCAGCUUCACUUAAUACACUCUCGCUGCAGCAGGCGUUGGCUCAGAACCAAGGCUCCCUGAUCUAAUGUAGCCCCAGGAAGAGCCUGUAGUGGGCUCAGAAGUGACUCCUGUUGGAAAGGGAUGUGUAGCUGAGGGGCCAAACAGCAAUAUGGGCCAGAGCAUCCUCACACGGUCCUUGUGGGCCCCAGCCUUCCAUCCAGCCCCUACUCAGUAUAUCUCAAAACAGCCUCCUGGGGUGGGAGUUUGCUCUGGAGGUCGGGUUGUUGUUUCUUCAUGGCUCAUUGGCCUAUCCUGGAUAGGGAAGCUGCAGGGGAAAAUGGGGUUCCCUGAAGAUUUGGAGGCACAAGACCACCCAUCUCAGAUAAAAGCAGAGGGGAGGCAUUCACUUGCCACUGUACCCCUUUUCUCUUCUUCCAGAAACCCAGUCUCCAGGUCUAAAACCUGCAAAGUUCAGCCCAACUCAUACCUGUCCCAGACCCAACAUUUCCUAUGCACAUGCCUGGGUUUCUCCCAGAGGAGCUGGGAGCAGUGGCCUUGGGACUGACAUGAGGCAGCCAGCCAGGUCCCCCCAGAAAGCUGUGAUUUCCACAUGGAGAGCUCACUGGGGGUUCAGCCAGUGAGCACCCUCCCUGAGUUAGUGGUAGGCAGUUCCUACCUCCUGGCAUCCCCCACCCCAACUCUCUUCCUUUCCCUUCUAAACUUGCUCUUUAAGGGGCUGGGCCCCAACUAUGGAUGAACCAGCCACAGCAAGGCCCACUGAACAUUGCUGGUAAAGUUGCACCAAGACCCCAGAGAGACAGCAGCAUGCAGCUGUUUUCCCCAGGAAAACGCAGUUCCCUUGGGAGCUGCUCCCGGGCCCCUCAUUCUUGGCAUCCCCACGUGGAGAGGGGAGCCCUGGAAUCCCCUGCCACUCUUCCCCUUCCUUGGGAAAAGAAGGAGGAGGAGAGAAAAGCCGUAUUAAUAAAAGAAUAGAAUGCUGCAACUAACUCCUUGCUGGUGUGUGCAGCCCAGAAUAGCAAUGGGCUUUCUCAAGGCAAACAGAACUCCCCAGGUGUUAAUGCAAAUUCACUCGCUUAAGAUGAAAGAGGGUUGUUUCCCCCUUCGCUGGUUAAUAUGAAGGACUUAAUAGAUUCAGCCUAGGGAACUGGGGAUCUCAGCCUGGGAGCUGAAGGCAGGGAGGAGGGAGGGAGGGGAGGGAUCGGGCGUGGUCCCCCGUGGGUUUCAAAGCAGAGCAACUGUCAUAGCAGGGCAGGCUGAGGACUCAGCGCCUGCCACCCCCAUCCUCCAUCCUGACUGACAGGAAGGACCUGGGACUCGAGAGGCAGAGCACUGGGAAAGUCUGGAGUGGCCAUGCCAACCUUCUGUCUCCAUUAAUCUGGGGGCCUCUAAGGCCCCUUCCCAAGCGGUGCCAAGAGAGUGUAGGGCUAGGAGAGAAAACGGGGUGAGGUGAGUAUUCUUAACACAGGCCAAGCUGGCUGGGUCUAGUCCAGCUCUAUCGUUCUUUUAUUUCCCCAAUGGUGACACUCUUGACAGAGCUGAGGAAAACCAGGCUGUGAAACUGAAACUUAGGGGAUCCCAGAGUUCAUGACCUUGUACAGCUAAGGCUCAGGAGCCCAGACAGGAGACAAGACUUCCUCAAGUCUAUACAGCUAAAGCAGCGAGCUGGAGGGAUCAGAGCCCAGCCUGCAGCAGCUCCCUGGGGCUUUCUCUGUCAAUCUCUC